GAUGAACGCUGGCGGCGUGCCUAAUACAUGCAAGUCGAGCGAACAGACGAGGAGCUUGCUCCUCUGACGUUAGCGGCGGACGGGUGAGUAACACGUGGAUAACCUACCUAUAAGACUGGGAUAACUUCGGGAAACCGGAGCUAAUACCGGAUAAUAUAUUGAACCGCAUGGUUCAAUAGUGAAAGACGGUUUUGCUGUCACUUAUAGAUGGAUCCGCGCCGCAUUAGCUAGUUGGUAAGGUAACGGCUUACCAAGGCAACGAUGCGUAGCCGACCUGAGAGGGUGAUCGGCCACACUGGAACUGAGACACGGUCCAGACUCCUACGGGAGGCAGCAGUAGGGAAUCUUCCGCAAUGGGCGAAAGCCUGACGGAGCAACGCCGCGUGAGUGAUGAGGGUCUUCGGAUCGUAAAACUCUGUUAUUAGGGAAGAACAAAUGUGUAAGUAACUAUGCACGUCUUGACGGUACCUAAUCAGAAGGCCACGGCUAACUACGUG
rnacentral:rRNA from 1 species